rnacentral:rRNA from 1 species
UACGUAGGGGGCAAGCGUUGUCCGGAAUCAUUGGGCGUAAAGCGCAGGUAGGCGGUUUGGUAAGUCUUUUGUGAAAGCUCCCGGCUUAACUGGGAGAGGUCAAGGGAAACUACCGGACUAGAGUGUGGUAGGGGAUACUGGAAUUCCUGGUGUAGCGGUGAAAUGCGUAGAUAUCAGGAGGAAUACCUAUGGCGAAAGCAGGUAUCUGGGCCAUCACUGACGCUGAGCUGCGAAAAGCUAGGGGGAGCAAACAGG